CUCCAUUUCAGGUAACCCUCCUUCCUCCACUGCACAAUCACUUAGAAACUGUAACUCUUCUUGGGCCCAGGUGCACAGGUAAAUUCGGAUCUUUCCCAAGGGAUCUCUGGGGCCUCGGGUCACAGCAGACCAGAACUUGACCUGGAGGCUGGUGUCCCCCAAACUGCUGUAUGGACCCUGCAACAGCUGGGGAGUCCUCGUCUCAACAGCCCUGCUGUCUCCCACUGAGGUCAUCUGCUGGCCCUCCUGGUGGCCCUGUGAGGAAGCCAGGAGUCACUGAUGCUGCUCUAUCGACGGCGACAGAUGGAUCACAGCUGAUAAGUGACUUGCCCAGAGUUUUGCAGCUUGGAACUCACAGAGCAGAAGCUGGGAAUCAGGUGGGGAAGCACCCAGCUCUCUGCUUCUCCUAAGCCAAGCUCUGCAGCGAGGUCCUGCUUCCCUCGGGACUCCUCUUUCAGCAUGACAUGAACUCAUUUUGAAUGUAAAGGCAAUGUCAAAGCCCUACAGCUAUUUAUACCAGAGCAUGUGUUUAUUAGCUCACUCUCCAGGGGGAAUAUUGCUGUUGUGAAUACACAACUACUCAUAACUACCGUCUUAAAAAUCUUCUCUACCCCAAAAUAUUUACUAAUGUAUUUAAGUAUUUAUUUUCUUGUAGUGAAAGGAAAUCAAGAUAAUUCUAAAAUUGUGGAAG
rnacentral:lncRNA from 10 species